rnacentral:ncRNA from 1 species
CAACCUCAGAUCAGACAUGGCAACCUGCUGAAUUUAAGCCUAUUAGUCAGCGGAGGAAAAGCAAUUAACGAGGAUUCUCUCAGUAACGGCGAGUGAAGAGGGAAGAGCCCAGCACCAAAUCCCUGCCCCACAGUGGGGGCUGUGACAUGUGGCAUCACGAAGC